AGAAGGAUGGUAUACUUUAAUCGUAUAGUAAAUUUCAUGAAAGAAUGUUCCGACACAGGCAACCGAAUCUCCAAAAAAGACCAAGAGUUCAAGUAAGAAGGAUAAGAAGAGCAAAUCCUCUUCAACGUCGUCCCCCGCAAAGAAGAAAAGCUCCUCAUCCAACAGCAGCGGUGACAGCAGCAACAACCCAUCCAGUGGAGGCAACUAGCAUGACCAGGCCAUCGAGAUGACCAACUUUUGUAACGUCAAGCAGCAACCGAUGGCUUUUCUGAUCAGCCUUCAAGUGCACCUAAUUCCCGGAUGUUUAUGAUGUCCCGGAUGUUAGCGAUACCCCGGAUGUUCAUGAGGUCCCGGAUGUAGAGGCUUUACCACUUUGACGCACUGACUAUUCGAAGAAGACAUGCUGGACGCAUUACGUAGAUAAACCUGUAACGAAGACAUUUUAGGAGUCUUAGAAAGAAAGAAGUAAGGAAAGACAGAAAGAAAGCAUGGAGUAAUUUAGCGCAAUAGUGGCCAAUUACAAGGAUUGGAUUUUUAGAGCUAAAAGUAGAAAAAACUCCAACUUUGUAAGACUGUUAACGUUAAUCUCUAGCCCUAAUAUGAUAGAAAUUUGUUUUCUGAAAGGUCAGGGAUUGUGACGUAUAUGUAAUAGUAAUUCGUGAUUGGCCAGUAGAUUUUCUGUAGGCGAUGAACGGCUAACACAUGAUUAGAUUUAGCAGAAUGGUGUCAUUGUUAUGGUAAUGAAAACAUAGAUCGCUACUUGAUUGCAGGGCUCAAAGAUAGACAUUUAUAGAUUCCGGGUUCUAGAACCCUCCUGAGACUUCCCUUCUGUAAAAUUUAUGCUAAUUAGCUAACGUCUUUCACGGCUGAUAGUACAGGAAAUCACACUGAUGAGAAACGUGCACCUUUUGAAAUACAGUUAGCGUGACUGUCUACAUGUAUUAAGGAAUACUCAGGAUAUGUCAAAAUGUGUAGCAACAAGCAAAUGUGUAGAACAUAUCACUUGUAGACUGUACUUGUUUAGAUGUAUCUUGUUCUACGGCCGGUAUAUACAUAUAUACAUAACAUUAUACAUAUAUCAUAUAGUUCAGCAAUUGUUUAUCUCCGGGUCGAAAAUUCUAAGAUAGGAAUAUAUAACAAUUAUGAAAAAAAUCAUUGGAACACAAUGUCUAAUUGGCUAAUUGAAUAAUUCAACAUUUAUCAAAUGAUGUCACAAAUAUGAAUGGUAAAAACAUGUAGCGCUUUUAAGGCGGAUUUUAUUAAUGAAGAUACUGUGAUGAAUCAAUGAGUAGAUAUUGUAUUCAUGCUACUAAUGACGAGACUCAUGUAGUGCUUUCGGACGCAAAACAAUAAGGGCGUAAUACUAUGUAUUGUUGAACGUCAAAAUAUUUCAGAUUUAGAGAAUGCAAAGUAGGCUUUAUAUAGAGAUGCCAUAUCCAUUGUCACAUUAGUUAUUAUGGUGCAUUGUUGGAAAGUGUUCCAUUCCCUUCCAUGUAUUAACGAUCUUCUCGUGUGUGUGUGAUUGUCGCUAUAGGCGGCUCUAUAUGUCAUAUUUAAUUUACCAUACAGAUACCAGUGCUACUUAGUUGAAACAAAAAGAAACACCAAUGGCUUGUCUUUCUUUGCUGCUCAUUCCAUUCCACUGUGUCUCCAAUGCCCAGUGUAGCGACAUAAAGAAUGUAAUGUAUGUUCUUAACAUGUUCUAUGAUAUAUCAUAUGUGGACAUGUACUAUGACUAGAUCAACAAUGAUUAUAUGGUAUAGAAAUGCUGUAAUAUAUCAAUACAUUCAAUGCAAUCAUCAAAUAUAACAUCUACAUAUAUCCCAAA